UCCUUCUGAGCCCUUUAGCUCCCGAUAGCUUCUCUUAAGGCCCCAAAGCAGUCUGAACUGGCCUCGUACGAUUUUUUUUUUAAACCGGUGUAGAUCAAGCUCGGGGAGGGUAGGGACCGGCCUGAGACACACAGCGGGUCAUUGGUAACUAGUCUGGGACACAGUGGCUGUCGUGGGUAGCGGCUGGCAUCACCGGGUCCCUGAGAGCUCCAAUCCCCAGCUCCAGCUCUCAAAGUUCCCUGAGAACUAGAUGGCAUGACUCUCCAGUCCUGGCGGCCCCCAUGACUUGCAUUCCUGGGUUCCGAUUUGUUCAUUCUGAAUUUGGGGAGACGGUGGCACAACGCCACCUCCAGGAAGGUUCUGGGUCUGAGUCUGGGCUAACCUGAGUUUACCAGCGUCGCCCUCACGGUGGGCAAGAGCAGAGAUCAAUGGAGGUAUAGAGAUUUAAAUACGCUUUCCUAGACAAGAGAGAAAUGCCGGGCGGGAGGACAAACUCCGCGGUGCCAGGAUGCACUCCUGCCCCCUAGAGGGUUCCAUCGGAUGCAUCGGAGACCGCCCACCAGGAUGAAAGCUAAAAAUACAACAGACACGUUAGCAACAGCUCUCCCAUUGGCCCUCAAGCAGGGAGCAGCGUCUGACUGGGUUUGGUUGUGGCUUCUGGGAAGCCAGCAUUUGUAACCUUAGGUAUAGCAAAGAAUGCUGGUAUAUGUAGUCUAUCAUUAGAGGCGGCCAUAGAAAUAGGUGGGUUUAUAUCCCGGUUCUGCCACCUACUGUGUGUUUUUGAUUUGAUGCAACAAAUAUUCUUACAUUGACAAACACAAUUCAUUUCUAAAAACAUGGAAAUCUUGUGAUUAAACAAUAUUGUAUGCAAA